GGCCCGUUGGUGUAACGGUCAACACUACUUAGCUGACCUCUUGUUGUUCUGCGGUAUUUCAAGCUCUCCAGCAUAGAAGCUACCGGUUCGAAUCCGGUACGAGCCA